AUUGAACGCUGGCGGCAUGCCUUACACAUGCAAGUCGAACGGUAACGGGCCUUCGGGUGCCGACGAGUGGCGUACGGGUGAGUAAUACAUCGGAACGUUCCCGAUCGUGGGGGAUAACGAGGCGAAAGCUUUGCUAAUACCGCAUACGAUCUACGGAAGAAAGCAGGGGACCGCAAGGCCUUGCGCGGCUGGAGCGGCCGAUGGCAGAUUAGGUAGUUGGUGGGCUAAAAGCUUACCAAGCCGACGAUCUGUAGCUGGUCUGAGAGGAUGAGCAGCCACACUGGGACUGAGACACGGCCCAGACUCCUACGGGAGGCAGCAGUGGGGAAUUUUGGACAAAGGGCGCAAGCCUGAUCCAGCCAUGCCGCGUGCAGGAUGAAGGCCUUCGGGUUGUAAACUGCUUUUGUACGGAACGAAAAGCCUUCUUUUAAUACAGGAGGGUCAUGACGGUACCGGAAGAAUAAGCACCGGCUAACUACGUG
rnacentral:rRNA from 1 species